rnacentral:rRNA from 1 species
UACGUAGGGUGCGAGCGUUAAUCGGAAUUACUGGGCGUAAAGCGUGCGCAGGCGGUUUUGUAAGCCAGAUGUGAAAUCCCCGGGCUUAACCUGGGAAUGGCAUUUGGGACUGCAAGGCUAGAGUGUGGCAGAGGAGACUGGAAUUCCUGGUGUAGCAGUGAAAUGCGUAGAUAUCAGGAGGAAUACCGAUGGCGAAGGCGGGUCUCUGGGCUAACACUGACGCUCAUGCACGAAAGCGUGGGGAGCAAACAGG